rnacentral:rRNA from 1 species
UCAAGUUAUUAAGGGUGCAGGGCGGAUGCCUUGGCACUAGGAGCCGAUGAAGGACGUGAUAAGCUGCGAUAAGCUUCGGGGAGUUGCACGUAAACUUUGAUCCGAAGAUUUCCGAAUGAGGAAACUCACUUAGAGUAAUGUCUAAGUAUCGUUAAGUGAAUACAUAGCUUAGCGAGGGGAACCCGGGGAACUGAAACAUCUAAGUACCCGGAGGAAGAGAAAGAAAUUCGAUUCCGUAAGUAGCGGCGAGCGAACGCGGAACAGGCCAAACCAAUGAAGUUUACUUCGUUGGGGUUGCGGACAUACAACAUGGAUGCAAUAUCGUAAAUGAAGAGAGUUGGAAAGCUCCGCCAUAGAAGGUAAUAGCCCUGUAGUUGAAACGAGAAAGCUACUAGUAUGAUCCAGAGUACCACGGGACACGUGAAACCCUGUGGGAAGCAGGAGGGACCAUCCUCCAAGCCUAAAUACUACCUAGUGACCGAUAGCGCAUAGUACCGUGAGGGAAAGGUGAAAAGAACCCCGGGAGGGGAGUGAAAUAGAACCUGAAACCGUGUGCCUACAACCGGUCAAAGCCCCUUAUGAGGGUGAUGACGUGCUUUUUGUAGAACGAGCCAACGAGUUACGGUAUGUAGCAAGGUUAAGUACUUAAGGUACGGAGCCGAAGGGAAACCGAGUCUUAAUAGGGCGACUAGUUGCAUGCCGUAGACCCGAAACCGGGUGACCUAUCCAUGGCCAGGUUGAAGCGAGGGUAAAACUUCGUGGAGGACCGAACCACGUUGCUGUUGAAAAAGCAUGGGAUGAGCUGUGGAUAGCGGAGAAAUUCCAAUCGAACUCGGAGAUAGCUGGUUCUCCCCGAAAUAGCUUUAGGGCUAGCGUCGGAUAUGUGUAGUGGAGGUAGAGCACUGAAUGGGCUAGGGGGCAUAUCGCUUACCGAACCUUAUCAAACUCCGAAUGCCAUAUACAUUAAGUCCGGCAGUCAGACUACGAAUGAUAAGAUCCGUGGUCAAAAGGGAAACAGCCCAGACCGUCAGCUAAGGUCCCAAAGUGUAAGUUAAGUGGAAAAGGAUGUGGGAUUUCUAAGACAACUAGGAUGUUGGCUUAGAAGCAGCCACUCAUUUAAAGAGUGCGUAAUAGCUCACUAGUCGAGAGAUCCUGCGCCGAAAAUGUACCGGGGCUAAACUUACCACCGAAGCUACGGAUUUGCAAGUAAUUGCAAGUGGUAGGGGAGCGUCGUAAUCGGGCUGAAGUCGUACCGGAAGGAGCGGUGGACUGAUUACGAGUGAGAAUGUUGGCAUUAGUAGCGAGAUGUAGGUGAGAAUCCUACAGGCCGAAUAUCUAAGGUUUCCUCAGGAAGGCUCGUCCGCUGAGGGUUAGUCGGGACCUAAGCCGAGGCCGAAAGGCGUAGGCGAUGGACAAUCGGUUGAUAUUCCGAUACCACUACCAUCGUUAUUAUCGAGGGUGUGACGGAGAAGGAUAGUGUGUGCUAGCGAUUGGAAAUGCUAGUCUAAGCGUUUAGGGAGUUACGGUAGGCAAAUCCGCUGUAACAAUUCUGAGGCGUGAUGGGGAAGGUCAUUAAGACCGAAGUACAUGAUUCCAUGCUUCCAAGAAAAGCAUCUAGAGAGAGAAGUAGUGCCCGUACCGCAAACCGACACAGGUAGAUGAGGAGAGAAUCCUAAGGCCGGCGGAAGAAUUGCAGUUAAGGAACUAGGCAAAUUGACCCCGUAAGUUCGCGAGAAGGGGUGCCUGCGAGAGCAGGCCGCAGAGAAUAGGCCCAAGCAACUGUUUAGCAAAAACACAGGUCUCUGCUAAAGCGUAAGCUGAUGUAUAGGGGCUGACGCCUGCCCGGUGCUGGAAGGUUAAGGGGAACACUUAGCGCAAGCGAAGGUGUGAACUUAAGCCCCAGUAAACGGCGGCCGUAACUAUAACGGUCCUAAGGUAGCGAAAUUCCUUGUCAGGUAAGUUCUGACCCGCACGAAUGGCGUAAUGACUUGGGCACUGUCUCAACUGCAAAUCCGGCGAAGUUGUAGUGCGAGUGAAGAUGCUCGCUACCCGCGAUUGGACGGAAAGACCCCGUAGAGCUUUACUGUAGCUUAGCAUUGAAUUCCGGUAUUGUCUGUACAGGAUAGGUGGGAGACUGGGAAACUAGGGCGUCAGCCUUAGUGGAGUCAACCUUGGGAUACCACCCUGACAGUACUGGGGUUCUAACAGGACGCCAUGAAGCUGGUGACUGGACAUUGUUAGGUGGGCAGUUUGACUGGGGCGGUCGCCUCCUAAAAAGUAACGGAGGCGCCCAAAGGUUCCCUCAGAACGGUCGGAAAUCGUUCGUAGAGUGCAAAGGCAGAAGGGAGCCUGACUGCGAGACCUACAAGUCGAGCAGGGACGAAAGUCGGGCUUAGUGAUCCGGUGGUACCUCGUGGGAGGGCCAUCGCUCAACGGAUAAAAGCUACCUCGGGGAUAACAGGCUGAUCUCCCCCAAGAGUCCACAUCGACGGGGAGGUUUGGCAC